UCUAUGGAGAGUUUGAUCCUGGCUCAGGACGAACGCUGGCGGCGUGCCUAAUACAUGCAAGUCGAGCGGACGAUU
rnacentral:rRNA from 1 species